rnacentral:misc_RNA from 1 species
UCGUACAAUGGAGGUGCUUGGGUGGCUGUCGCUGACUUUUUGAAAAGGGUCGUGCACGCCGCUGGCACUCUCUCAUAUCCAUCUCACCCCUUUGUGCAUUGCCGCGUGGGUCCCCCUUUAGGGGGACUUGCGUUUUUACAUAGACACCCUUUGAAUGCAUGUGUAGAACGUCUUAUUUAUUAUCAAUA